CCUACGGGUGACAGCAGUGGGGAAUAUUGCACAAUGGGGGAAACCCUGAUGCAGCGACGCCGCGUGAGUGAAGAAGGAUUUCGGUAUGUAAAGCUCUAUCAGCAGGGAAGAAACCCACCCUCAGGGGUGGCGGACGGUACGUGACUAAGAAGCCACGGAUAACGACGUGCCAGCAGCCGCGGUAAUACGUAGGGGGCAAGCGUUAUCCGGAUUUACUGGGUGAAAAGGGAGCGUAGGUGGCAAGGCAAGUCAGAUGUGAAAACCCGGGGCCCAACCCCGGGAGUGCAUUUGAAACUGUCUGGCUAGAGUGCAGGAGAGGUAAGUGGAAUUCCUAGUGUAGCGGUGAAAUGCAUAGAUAUUAGGAGGAACACCAGUGGCGAAGGCGGCUUACUGGACUGUAACUGACACUGAGGCUCGAAAGCGUGGGGAGCAAACAGGAUUAGAUACCCCUGUAGUC
rnacentral:rRNA from 1 species